AGCACCACCGCCACCAUUCACACCAACACUUGUUGUUAUCCCAUUUGAAUGCAUUUCCUUCGCGCUAACAGCAUUUAACUUUUCAUUCUCUUCUAAAUUCAAACUCGCCGCACCUCUUUCACCAACACCAUCCUUGGUUCCAUCACCUCUUUCACCAUUAUCGCCCAUUUCUCCUCCAUCUUCCUCCUCCUCGCGUCUCUCAGACAUUUUCACAGUAGAAGAAUCUGCAUUUCUUUCAA
rnacentral:misc_RNA from 1 species